AUUUGACCAGAUAUAGUAUAAAGAUUAGACAAAUAACUCAAUGAAAAACAACAUAAUGCUCAAUAUAUGGCAGCUGUAGGAAAUUUGUCAGGAGCAUCAUCUGAUCUUUGUGCUCCAGAAUGUUGUUUAUGCACAAUUUCUGGACUAACUUUUAGCCUGAUGGGUCACUGAAACUUAAGCUUGUCUUUCCUUAUUCAGGCAGACAAGGAUCUAUGCAUGACUAGAAAAUAAACCAGCGGUGAAACCAAAAUGAACACUGUGUCUUUCGACUGUGAUGUUGUUCAGCCGUUCUGCCACUCAGCAAAAAGAGCAUGUCAGGUGGAUUUAGAUCUAUAGAGCUGUUACAUUCUAUAUCCAGUAACAAACAUCAGAUAUCAAUACAUUUAAAAGUUAGCUUUCAGUUUUUAUAAACAAACACAUGUUUGUUAAGUGGACCUUUGUUUAACUAUGUACUGAAGCCGUAGGGAGAUAUGCGGUUGAUCAGGUUUGUGUGCCUCUGCUCAUUUCCUUAAAAGUGUUCCUCAUCAUUCCUUAAAAAUGCUGAAUGAAAAAGACAGGAGGUUAGAAAUACUCACCCAUCUCACCGCAACAGCAGUGUUUCCUUGCCUUAGGUGUCGGUAUGUACUGUAAUAUUUUUAAAGAUGACAUUGGAUGUUUACAUUUUAUUCUUUAUUAUUUGUUGAGUAUCUAAUAGUAGACGUUUACUUACUACACAGAAGGUAUUUAAAUCAAGUUUCUUACAUUCUUGCAUUAUUGUCUCUUAAUUGAUAAUAACUUGAUCUUUGACUUGUACUGCUAUAAAUUGAAGGUAAGUGUUUAAAUGUUAUUUAAAUAUUAUACAGUAUAAACUGUUAUAAAAGAGUAUCACAUGUGGCUGUUGUUCCUGCAGAGAACUUGAUAAUUCAUCAUCUCUCAUCAUCUCUCAUCAUGAUGCUGCUUCUUCAUGUGCUGAUGCUGUACUCAGCCUACAAGUUUGAAGGGAUAAUGGGCUGCACAAGAGAAAACAACUGGUACAUUGAACCUCAACUGACUAAAGCUGAAAUCCGUGAUCACAGACUUCUCUCUACCCUGCCGAUUCCUGCUCCACUCGUCGGAGUACAUAUCUGGAAAAAAUGUCAGAAUUCACACGUGAAACUUCAUGCUGUCAAGAGACAGAUUAAUUCAUUGGAGUUGUCAUGUAUGCUUAUUACAGCUAAUAAUAAUAAACAUAAAUAAUCACAUAAUAAAUUUGUGUGUAUGUGUGAGUAUAGAUGCAUGUAUAGAGAGGACUUACAAAUGUUUUUCUCUUACAGAUCUAAAUAAUUCAUUCAUAUUUCAUAUUGCACAUAAUGUACUGAUGUCUAAAUUCACUUGAAUAUUGAUAUUAAAAAUACACCUAACCUGGGAAAUAUUAACUGGAGUAAAAAGUGUGACAACAUGCCCCAGUAUCUCCACAAUGCUGUUUAUAGACCUAUGCUAUGCUAUGCAGGAAAAUUCUGUUCUUUUGUUUUAUGCAAAUAUUCUUAUAUUUCUUCCUACACCUGUUUUCAUUUGAAGCAUCUGGGCAUGAAUGUGUUGUUUCUCAUUAUUUCACAUAAUGCAGCAAAGUGUCUCCAUUUAUACAUGUCUAUAGCUGUGUUCGUGACAUCUAAAAAGUAUUUAAGGAAACUGUACCUGUACAUGCAGAUUAUAAAUAAAAAGUGUACUUGAAGUGACGAAGUGAAGUGAAGUGAAGUGAAGUGACGUGACAUUCAGCCAAGUAUGGUGACCCAUACUCAGAAUUUGUGCUCUGCAUUUAACCCAUCCGAAGUGCACACACACAGAGCAGUGAACACACACACACUGUGAACACACACCCGGAGCAGUGGGCAGCCAUUUAUGCUGCGGCGCCCGGGGAGCAGUUGGGGUUCAGUGCCUUGCUCAAGGGCACCUAAGUCGUGGUAUUGAGGGUGGAGAGGAGCGCUGUACAUUCACCUCCCCCCACCCACUUAUACAUGUCUAUAGCUGUGUUCGUGACAUCUAAAAAGUAUUUAAGGAAACUGUACCUGUACAUGCAGAUUAUAAAUAAAAAGUGUACUUGAAGUGACGAAGUGAAGUGAAGUGAAGUGAAGUGACGUGACAUUCAGCCAAGUAUGGUGACCCAUACUCAGAAUUUGUGCUCUGCAUUUAACCCAUCCGAAGUGCACACACACAGAGCAGUGAACACACACACACUGUGAACACACACCCGGAGCAGUGGGCAGCCAUUUAUGCUGCGGCGCCCGGGGAGCAGUUGGGGUUCAGUGCCUUGCUCAAGGGCACCUAAGUCGUGGUAUUGAGGGUGGAGAGAGCGCUGUACAUUCACUCCCCCCACCACAAUUCCUGCCGGCCCGAGACUCGAACUCACAACCCUUCGAUUGGGAGUCCGACUCUCUAACCAUUAGGCCACGACUUCCCCUAGUGUAUUGAACAGAAUACACUUUCUUGACUUGUAAUAAUGUGGCAUACUAUUUUUUUAUUUGGAAGUACAUUUUAAUCAUUAUGUUUAAAAAAAGAAUUUGUGGUUUAAAGCACUACACUUAAAUUUGAUGUCGAAUAACAUAAUGCACAUUUUAAUUUGUUAUCAUUUUAACUGUAGGGUUAUUUUAAAUUUCUUUUCAAGUUAAUAUAUUUUAAAGAAAUUAUUCUAUUUUUAUCGUCAUCAUUACAAAAAUAUUUAAAUACAUAACAUGCAAGUUUCAAUAAAAAAUAUGUUUAACAUAUUUUAAUUUAUAAAUUAUUGGCCUUUAAUUUAUAAUUUAUAUUAAUUUAUAUAUAAGCAGUUUUAAAGGCAUACUUAAGUGGGUCAGAAAAGCAUUCUUACAUUCAAAUAAUUGCAUUUAAUAUAAAUUUAAACUGCAUUGUAAGUGAAGUUUGUUAUUCCAAAACAUAAUUUCAAUAUUAGUCACUAGAUGGCAGUUCUGUGAUAGCGGUGACAUUGCUGCAGCUUCUGCAGCGUCAAGAAGAACACGAUAAGCCCUACUAAUCGAUCCCGCUCAUAUUUAUUUUUAUUUUUUUGUUUCGUUAGAUAAAAUUGAGAAUUCAGUUUUGUUCAGCUAAGUUGUACGAUUCGAUAAAAAUUAUUAAAUUAAUUAUAAAAACUUAUAUAUUAUUAUAUUGAAUAGAGUAAAUAAAUAGCUCGAUCAUAAUAUUAUCUAUUAGUAAUGUCUUUCGUUAAAGCAUCAUGGUGACUUCCAGUAGAAGCAUCAUGUGAGGCAUUCUAGCGCCUGUUUCUACCGCGGUUUGUGUUUUGAAAGGGUGAUAUGAACGGACUGAU
rnacentral:lncRNA from 1 species